rnacentral:rRNA from 1 species
UGAGGAAUAUUGGACAAUGGGGGCAACCCUGAUCCAGCCAUGCCGCGUGAGUGAAGAAGGCCUUAGGGUUGUAAAGCUCUUUCAAUUGUGAAGAUAAUGACGGUAGCAAUACAAGAAGCUCCGGCUAAAUUCGUGCCAGCAGCCGCGGUAAUACGAAUGGAGCGAGCGUUGUUCGGAAUCACUGGGCUUAAAGCGUGCGUAGGCGGAUUUGCAAGUCAGGAGUGAAAUCCCGGGGCUCAACCCCGGAACUGCUCUUGAAACUGCAAGUCUAGAAUCCGAUAGAGGUCAGGAGAAUUCCUAGUGUAGAGGUGAAAUUCGCAGAUAUUAGGAGGAAUACCAGUGGCGUAGGCGCCUGACUGGGUCGGUAUUGACGCUGAGGUACGAAAGCGUGGGGAGCAAACAGGAUUAGAUACCCCCGUAGUCC